UGGGGAAUUUUGGACAAUGGGCGAAAGCCUGAUCCAGCAAUGCCGCGUGUGUGAAGAAGGCCUUCGGGUUGUAAAGCACUUUUGUCCGGAAAGAAAUCCUUGGCUCUAAUACAGUCGGGGGAUGACGGUACCGGAAGAAUAAGCACCGGCUAACUACGUGCCAGCAGCCGCGGUAAUACGUAGGGUGCAAGCGUUAAUCGGAAUUACUGGGCGUAAAGCGUGCGCAGGCGGUUUGCUAAGACCGAUGUGAAAUCCCCGGGCUCAACCUGGGAACUGCAUUGGUGACUGGCAGGCUAGAGUAUGGCAGAGGGGGGUAGAAUUCCACGUGUAGCAGUGAAGUGCGUAGAGAUGUGGAGGAAUACCGAUGGCGAAGGCAGCCCCCUGGGCCAAUACUGACGCUCAUGCACGAAAGCGUGGGGAGCAAACAGGAUUAGAUACCCUGGUAGUCCACGCCCUAAACGAUGUCAACUAGUUGUUGGGGAUUCAUUUCCUUAGUAACGUAGCUAACGCGUGAAGUUGACCGCCUGGGGAGUACGGUCGCAAGAUUAAAACUCAAAUGAAUUGACGGGGUCAUAGCUGUUU
rnacentral:rRNA from 1 species